rfam:Hymenolepis nana genome assembly, scaffold: HNAJ_scaffold0000343
GGGGUACGCGAUAGACUUACCUCCACGUGGUGCACCCCAGGCAACGUAUACUUAUAGGGCAAAAAUGUUUAU